UACGUAGGGUGCGAGCGUUGUCCGGAAUUAUUAGGCGUAAAGAGCUCGUAGGCGGUCUGUCGCGUCGGUCGUGAAAACUUGGGGCUUAACCCUGAGCUUGCGGUCGAUACGGGCAUGACUGGAGUUCGGCAGGGGAGACUGGAAUUCCUGGUGUAGCGGUGAAAUGCGCAGAUAUCAGGAGGAACACCGGUGGCGAAGGCGGGUCUCUGGGCCGAUACUGACGCUGAGGAGCGAAAGCGUGGGGAGCGAACAGG
rnacentral:rRNA from 1 species